rfam:Dipodomys ordii contig_69883, whole genome shotgun sequence.
CCCAGCUUUAAACUCAAUCCAUAGUUCAACAAGGUGAAGACACUCAAAAUUGGAAUUAUUUAGCACUAACUUUUAAAAGAAAC